GAUCAUCGUUUCGUCACAAUGGUUCCUUCCUAUCAACUGUACCCAAUUGAUACACACGUGAGAGUCCGCUUUACGCACACAACGUCUUCAAGCGGGACCCACAUGCCAAUACAGAUCCCUGCACUGCGGGGUAAAAGAGUGAGUAUGGAAAAGAUCAUCCCCGUCUGACACCUGCACAAAGCGAACCUCUUUCUUUUCUCUCCCCCUCAGGAGAUCGGAACCUCUCGCCGCCACUUUCGAGGAAAGAAAAGAGCCAAUGGAGGUCGCCUUCGCUUGAUCCGCUUGUCCCAGGACCUCCGGGAAGCUUCGUGCCUCUCCGAAGUGCUCGGUCCGUGUAGGUUUUCAGAUCGAUCUGAUCUUUGCUGCGGAGUUUGAUGGCAUCAGAGGAUGUGGUGGGGAAGAGCACGGGGGAAUCGGCGGUGACGACGAUAGUGAAUCUCGCGGAGGAGGCGAAGCUCGCGCGAGAGGGAGUCAAGGCUCCCAGUCACGCGAUCCUGAGCAUCUGCAAGUCCCUUGUGGCCGGUGGAGUAGCGGGAGGAGUAUCAAGAACAGCUGUUGCUCCACUUGAGCGGCUAAAAAUCCUAUUGCAGGU